rnacentral:rRNA from 1 species
CCUACGGGAGGCAGCAGUGGGGAAUCUUGCGCAAUGGGCGAAAGCCUGACGCAGCCAUGCCGCGUGAAUGAUGAAGGUCUUAGGAUUGUAAAAUUCUUUCACCGGGGACGAUAAUGACGGUACCCGGAGAAGAAGCCCCGGCUAACUUCGUGCCAGCAGCCGCGGUAAUACGAAGGGGGCUAGCGUUGCUCGGAAUUACUGGGCGUAAAGGGAGCGUAGGCGGAUAGUUUAGUCAGAGGUGAAAGCCCAGGGCUCAACCUUGGAAUUGCCUUUGAUACUGGCUAUCUUGAGUGUGGGAGAGGUAUGUGGAACUCCGAGUGUAGAGGUGAAAUUCGUAGAUAUUCGGAAGAACACCAGUGGCGAAGGCGACAUACUGGCCCAUUACUGACGCUGAGGCUCGAAAGCGUGGGGAGCAAACAGGAUUAGAUACCCUGGUAGUCCACGCUGUAAACGAUGAGUGCUAGUUGUCGGCAUGCAUGCAUGUCGGUGACGCAGCUACGCAUAAGACACUCCGCCGUCGGGAGGUACGGUCGCGAGAUAAACGUACGAAGAAGUAGACGCGUGAGACGUGCCGACGGACGACGACGAGGGAGGAGG